rnacentral:lncRNA from 1 species
UGCUGAGUCUGCGCUACUGGGCGGGGCUAGGAGGCGGUGCCUGUGACGUAUGAGAAGGCGAGAGGGCAGGAAAAGGGGCGGGGAAUCUCACUGCGCUUCCGGCUUCCCUCCCCCGCCCCCGGCGCUCGCGGGGUUUCUGCGGUACCAGCCGAGCCCUGAAAAAAGCGUGUGGUCCUGUGUAACAAAAUUGACGAUUCUGUUUUUUCAAAGAACAUACUUCCCUAAUGACCUAUUAAAGAAGCAUGUAUGGUUGUUGGAGAGGUAAGGAAAAGGUUAAGCUGAGGUGUUUCCCAAUUUAGGGCCGAGAAUCUGGAAUAUUAAUUGAGUUGUUUUGUUGAGUUGAGUUGUUUUCCGCUAAUGAAAUAUAAAAUAAAAUUUCAUUUUGCAGUCUGACUUGGGGGGAUAUAAUACUUCGGCUCUUUUGGCGAUGAAGAGCGCCGGAAGAGAGGAAAGGACGCCCAUCUUGGGAUCGGCUUCGCGUCGUUCAGGUCCUACAAACAAACGGGCAGAUCUGUCUGUUUCACGGGUGGUUUCAGAAGUUGCGAAUACAAGUGGUCGUGUCAGCCUUGCAGAAAGUUGGAAGUGGCAUCUUGUGCUGCCGGAGAAUGAGUGCACCUCUUCUCAGGUACUUUCAGGUGUUUCGUUUCUGCAAGAUCUCAACUUCAGGCCGUGUUUGUCUCACUCAGGGAAAAUUAACU